GGUACAGCCCUUGGACGCGAGUGCUUCUAUGGAAAGAAGAUAAAAAUAUCUCCAUGUGAGCUUUGAUCGACUCAAGCAAUUUGUUGGUACAUCAAUGCCAGCCAUCAGGUACUACUUAGAUACUAUAUAUUGGGUACAAUUAUAUUAUAUAUAAAGGCAAUGGCAUGCUUCUGAUGUUAGAUUGAUGUAUUAAAUUGAUCCAUUUUUAACAACUACUCUUGCAAUAGUAGAUACUUUGUUUACAUGACUAGGAAAAUUGUUGAGCCAGGCACUACACGCCAAGGCGCGUUUCCUAAAAUGUCGUCUCUCCGUAAUAUAAUGUACUGCUAUCACUAUAUGACAUAGAAGAACUGUAUAAAUCUGUUAUCCUGGACGGCCACUAUAGCUUGCUUUUGGUGUAUCAAGGUAUCUUUGAACUGGAUGAAGAAAACCUAUCACCAUAUGUAUCUUUGAACUGGACUUUGGUAUUACCAUUUUCUAUGAGACACAUGUAUUCUGCUUGCUCCUAUCUCUUUCAUUACGAGACAUGUAGCACGCUCUAAAGUAGUAUUACUUUCUUGUGGCUAUACUUGUGAGUAUUAUUAUUCUACUCGCUUAUGUAGCCACUAAUGUGGUUCUUUGUUGCUUCUUUGCAGACAUUUGAUUAAGUCAAAGUCAACAGGAAGGCACGAUGGUGAUCAAGGUCCUUAUAUACGCCGAGUACUAUCUUUUGUCUACCGUAUAAGAAUAGAUCAAUAUGAGACUACUAAGUCAUCUACUAUGUAUUUACUGGUGGUGUCAUAUCCGAUCUUUAUCUGGAUCUAUGAACUAUUGUAUCGAAGAUGUCGAAUUAUGUCUACAUAGCCUGCCUUUAAAUGCUUAUAUAAACUCAAUGUAUCCUUUGUAUUGUUCUUCUUCUUUGACUUCGCACAUCUGCUUAUUUUCGGACAAAUUUUCAUGUGACUACCAAUGCUAUAAACCAG
rnacentral:lncRNA from 1 species